GAAAUGCUUGUGCUUCUAGUUCCGACAGUGCAGCAAUAUCACAAUAUCUAACAUGUAAUCUAACAACUACCCAAUACACAAACAUCGAAGUAAAGGAAUGGAAUACAAAUAUAUACAUAUAAAUAUAUGGGUGAGCAACGACAGAGCGGCAUAGGAAAGAUGCAAUAGAUGGUAUGAAAUACAGUAUGUACAUAUGAGAUGAGUAAUGCAACAUAUGUAAACAUUAUUAGAGUGGCCAAUGAUUUCAAGUUCAAAGUGGGACCUCAGUUCCUCUCGGUCUAAAACUGCAGAAGAAUGAAGGAGUAAAAACACGUGGCUGUAGACUGUAUUCGUGUUGAUAAGGGUUCUAACACACACCUGUAGGAAGGCAACCUGACCCGGGACACAUUGAGGACGAUCACCAUGGAUACUGGGCGGGUGCCGACAAAAUGACCUCUGGCACCAACUCUGGCACUAUAACAUCAAUCUCCUCUCUGGCACAAUGAUUAGCGUUUAAAUUGGACAUUCCAGAACACUCCCUGGCUGCUGUUUACAAGUCAAGUCUACAAUGUGUAAAAUGGACCCUAAAGAGAUGUCAAAAUUGAAGUUGGGAUGCAUUAAACGAGUUAGAUACAGUUCAGCUGUUUGGUUUACUCCCUCUGCUCUUGUUGUUGAAAGGCUGGCACGGGUCUACUAAAACGAUUCAAUGUAUCUUGAAUGUAGGGAACACACAGUUUGUGUAAGUAGUGAGGCCUAGGUAGCCUAGCGGUUAAGAGCUAGUAACCGAAAGGUUGCUGGUUCGAAUCCCCCAGCCGACUAGGUGAACAAUCUGUCAAUCUGACCUUGAGCAUGGCACUUAACGGUCUGGAUAAGAGCGCCUGCUAAAACGUAAAUGUCCCUGAGUUACCCCGUACAGGUACAGUGUGCAAGAUGGGCUUGCUUCUCAACUGUCAAUUUGUGGGUAGUUUGAGUACCAGGAACACAAAUAGUUUGGUUAAUGAAGAAGUUGUGCCAGUGCUUGUUUGCAGAGGCUGUGUGGGGAUUUGUACACCUUAUACUGUUCAUGUGUAAUAUACAAGACUUGAUUGUUGCUUGAAUCUGUCCGUUAGAGGUACUCAAGUGUUAUAGAGCGGUGGUUGAGUGAAUAUGUAGGGUACGUACAUCACCCCAACUGGAGCACAGGGCAGCAGCAAAGUUUCUCCACUUCACACCUGGCUGGUUGAAAAGUAGUUUUUCUGUUUGCAGGGUCCUUUUAGUGUUGUGGGGCAAUUUUUGGAGUGUUUUCAUGGGUUGCUUGGAGGUGGUUGGAGUGUUGUGCAGAGGUUGUUUGGAGGUGGUUGGAGUAUUGUGCAGAGUUUGUUUAGAGGUGGUUGGAGUGUUGUGCAGAGGUUGUUUGGAGGUGGUUGGAGUAUUGUGCAGAGUUUGUUUAGAGGUGGUUGGAGUGUUGUGCAG
ensembl:lncRNA